rnacentral:rRNA from 1 species
AUACUUGACGGUCAUAGUGAAGCUGGUCCCACAUGAUCCCAUGCAGAACUCAAGAAGUGAAACGGAUUCACGCCAUAUCUACUACGGAAGUGGGAAACGUGGUUGCCGCUCAAGUAU